GUCUAAAUUUGGGCAGCACAUAUACUAAAAUUGGAACGAUACAGAGAAGAUCAGCGUGCCCCCUGCGCAAGGAUGACAUGCAAAUUCGUGAAGCAUUCCAUAUGUUU
ensembl:snRNA U6 U6 spliceosomal RNA